rnacentral:rRNA from 1 species
CACGUAGGAGGCAAGCGUUAUCCGGAUUUACUGGGCGUAAAGCGCGUGUAGGCGGUUCGGUAAGUUGGAUGUGAAAUCUCCUGGCUCAACUAGGAGAGGUCGUUCAAUACUGCCAGACUAGAGGACGGUAGAGGAAGGUAGAAUUCCCGGUGUAGUGGUGAAAUGCGUAGAUAUCGGGAGGAAUACCAGUGGCGAAGGCGGCCUCCUGGUC